rnacentral:rRNA from 1 species
GUUGUAUGGUUAAGURAYUAAGCGUAGACGGUGGAUGCCUUGGCAGUCAGAGGCGAUGAAGGACGUACUAACCUGCGAAAAGCGAUGGUGAGCUGGUAAGAAGCAUUUGAGCCAUCGAUGUCCGAAUGGGGAAACCCACCUGCAUAAGCAGGUAUCUUAGCGUGAAUCCAUAGCGCUAAGAGGCGAACUCGGGGAACUGAAACAUCUAAGUACCCGAAGGAAAAGAAAUCAAUUGAGAUUCCGGCAGUAGCGGCGAGCGACCCCGGAGCAGCCCUUAAGCGGCUUAGKCGUUAGGUGAACAGGUUGGAAAACCUGGCAAUAAAGGGUGAUAGCCCCGUAACCGACAGCGCCUUAGUCGUGAAAACGAGUAGGACGGGACACGUGAUAUCUUGUCUGAACAUGGGGGGACCAUCCUCCAAGGCUAAAUACUCCUGACUGACCGAUAGUGAACCAGUACCGUGAGGGAAAGGCGAAAAGAACCCCUGUGAGGGGAGUGAAAUAGAACCUGAAACCGUCUACGUACAAGCAGUGGGAGCCCCAUCACUAAGACACUUCAUCUUAGUGAGACGCUAUCACUUUGUKGAUUGGGUUAACCACGCGMAGCGUGRGUCAACCGCCCAAACCAGCAGAGGUGACUUAGUGAUGGGGUGACCGCGUACCUUUUGUAUAAUGGGUCAGCGACUUAAUGUAAGUAGCYAGGUUAACCGCAUAGGGGAGCCGUAGGGAAACCGAGUCUUAACUGGGCGACAGUUGCUUGCAUUAGACCCGAAACCGAGUGAUCUAGCCAUGGGCAGGUUGAAGGUUGAGUAACAUCAACUGGAGGACCGAACUCACUAACGUUUUGGGGUGACCGCGUACCUUUUGUAUAAUGGGUCAGCGACUUAAUGUAAGUAGCYAGGUUAACCGCAUAGGGGAGCCGUAGGGAAACCGAGUCUUAACUGGGCGACAGUUGCUUGCAUUAGACCCGAAACCGAGUGAUCUAGCCAUGGGCAGGUUGAAGGUUGAGUAACAUCAACUGGAGGACCGAACUCACUAACGUUGAAAAGUUAGGAGAUGACCUGUGGCUAGGGGUGAAAGGCCAAUCAAACUCGGAGAUAGCUGGUUCUCCCCGAAAGCUAUUUAGGUAGCGCCUCGGACGAACACUACUGGGGGUAGAGCACUGUUAAGGCUAGGGGGUCAUCCCGACUUACCAACCCUUUGCAAACUCCGAAUACCAGUAAGUGCUAUCCGGGAGACACACGGCGGGUGCUAACGUCCGUCGUGGAGAGGGAAACAACCCAGACCGCCAGCUAAGGUCCCMAAGUUAUCGCUAAGUGGGAAACGAUGUGGGAAGGCUCAGACAGCCAGGAUGUUGGCUUAGAAGCAGCCAUCAUUUAAAGAAAGCGUAAUAGCUCACUGGUCGAGUCGGCCUGCGCGGAAGAUGUAACGGGGCUAAGCGAUACACCGAAGCUGCGGCAAUGGCUGCAUCACUUAAAGCUAUUGGAUUGACGUUAUGCGCGAAGCGCGUGGUUAAUAACGUCAAAGCGCCCAACAAUGGUUGAGGCGAAUAAAGAUAGUGGCUUUAAGGAUGCAGCUAUUGGGUAGGGGAGCGUUGUGUAAGCYGUUGAAGGUGUGCUGAGAGGCAUGCUGGAGGUAUCACAAGUGCGAAUGCUGACAUGAGUAACGAUAAWGGGGGUGAAAAACCUCCWCGCCGGAAGACCAAGGGUUCCUGUCCAACGUUAAUCGGGGCAGGGUAAGUCGGCCCCUAAGGCGAGGCCGAAAGGCGUAGUCGAUGGGAAACGGGUUAAUAUUCCCGUACUGCURCUUACUGCGAUGGGGGGACGGAGAAGGCUAGGUGGGCCUGGCGAUGGUYGUCCAGGUUCAAGUGCGUAGGCUGAUUUCUUAGGCAAAUCCGGGAAAUCAAGGCCGAGACACGAUGUCGAGCCACCAAGGUGGUGAAGUCAUUGAUGCCAUGCUUCCRGGAAAAGCCUCUAAGCUUCAGGUAAGUAGCAACCGUACUCCAAACCGACACAGGUGGUCGGGUAGAGAAUACCAAGGCGCUUGAGAGAACUCGGGUGAAGGAACUAGGCAAAAUGGUACCGUAACUUCGGGAGAAGGUACGCUGCCCGCGGUGAAGUCCCUUGCGGAUGGAGCUAUGGGCAGUCGCAGAUACCAGGUGGCUGCAACUGUUUAUUAAAAACACAGCACUGUGCAAAAUCGAAAGAUGACGUAUACGGUGUGACGCCUGCCCGGUGCCGGAAGGUUAAUUGAUGUGGUUAUCGCAAGAGAAGCCAUUGAUYGAAGCCCCGGUAAACGGCGGCCGUAACUAUAACGGUCCUAAGGUAGCGAAAUUCCUUGUCGGGUAAGUUCCGACCUGCACGAAUGGCGUAAUGAUGGCCACGCUGUCUCCACCCGAGACUCAGUGAAAUUGAAAUCGCAGUGAAGAUGCUGUGUACCCGCGGCUAGACGGAAAGACCCCGUGAACCUUUACUACAGCUUGGCACUGAACAUUGAGCCUACAUGUGUAGGAUAGGUGGGAGGCUUUGAAGCGGCGACGCCAGUUGCUGUGGAGCCAUCCUUGAAAUACCACCCUUGUAUGUUUGAUGUUCUAACUUAGCCCCRUUAUCYGGGGUGAGGACAGUGCCUGGUGGGUAGUUUGACUGGGGCGGUCUCCUCCCAAAGUGUAACGGAGGAGCACGAAGGUGGGCUAAUCACGGUCGGACAUCGUGAGGUUAGUGCAAUGGCAUAAGCCCGCUUAACUGCGAGAGUGACGGCUCGAGCAGGUACGAAAGUAGGUCAUAGUGAUCCGGUGGUUCUGAAUGGAAGGGCCAUCGCUCAACGGAUAAAAGGUACUCCGGGGAUAACAGGCUGAUACCGCCCAAGAGUUCAUAUCGACGGCGGUGUUUGGCACCUCGAUGUCGGCUCAUCACAUCCUGGGGCUGAAGUCGGUCCCAAGGGUAUGGCUGUUCGCCAUUUAAAGUGGUACGCGAGCUGGGUUUAGAACGUCGUGAGACAGUUCGGUCCCUAUCUGCCGUGGGCGUUGGAUGAUUGAGGGGAGCUGCUCCUAGUACGAGAGGACCGGAGUGGACGAACCGCUGGUGUUCGGGUUGUGUCGCCAGACGCAUUGCCCGGUAGCUAAGUUCGGCACAGAUAAGCGCUGAAAGCAUCUAAGCGCGAAGCUGGCCCCGAGAUGAGUCAUCCCUAGAGCUUCGAGCUCUCUAAAGGGUUGUCGUAGACKACGACGUUGAUAGGCAGGGUGUGUAAGCGCUGUGAGGCGUUGAGCUAACCUGUACUAAUUAGAUAAGCGCUGAAAGCAUCUAAGCGCGAAGCUGGCCCCGAGAUGAGUCAUCCCUAGAGCUUCGAGCUCUCUAAAGGGUUGUCGUAGACGACGACGUUGAUAGGCAGGGUGUGUAAGCGCUGUGAGGCGUUGAGCUAACCUGUACUAAUGGCCCGUGAGGCUUAACCAUACAACACCCAAGCGGUU